AAUGAAGUGCCUGAAAAUAAGGAUUAUUUUGAUAGAAUAAAUUAUGCGAGACCCGCCUUCAUUU
rnacentral:tRNA from 1 species